UGUCUUAAAAAUAAAUUGCAUGAGCAUGAGGAAGUGAAGCUCAACGUGAGUACUUAGUCC
rnacentral:snoRNA from 1 species